ACAGAGGGUGCAAACGUUGUUCGGAAUUACUGGGCGUAAAGCGCGUGUAGGCGGCCCUGCAAGUCGGAUGUGAAAUCCCACGGCUCAACCGUGGAAGUGCAUUCGAAACUGCAGGGCUAGAGUCCUGGAGAGGAAGGUGGAAUGCUUGGUGUAGAGGUGAAAUUCGUAGAUAUCAAGCGGAACACCGGUGGCGAAGGCGGCCUUCUGGACAGUGACUGACGCUGAGACGCGAAAGCGUGGGGAGCAAACAGGAUUAGAUACCCUGGUAGUCCACGCCGUAAACGAUGAGUGCUAGGUGUCACGGGCUUUGACCCUCGUGGUGCCGAAGCUAACGCGUUAAGCACUCCGCCUGGGGAGUACAGUCGCAAGACUA
rnacentral:rRNA from 1 species